CAAAGACGGAGAAGCAAAAAUCCCUUUUCUGAAACCCAAGUCCCUUACUAUUUUCGGCAGCUUUCUUUUGAAAUCAGCAACCCUACUGAUAAAAUGAUCCAAUCAGUCCUUCCCAGUUGUCAAGACAACAGUUCAUAAUUGUACCAGCUCUUUUCAUUGCAGCUAGACAUUUCAUAAAUAGAUAAUUCUCUAAUUGAUCCAGCCAAUCCUACUUUGCAUACCCUGCCAAACUAGACACAAAGGAGCAUCAUUUCCCUAUCUCUGCCCGCCUUUCCCUCAGCCUGUUGACCUCUGACACCUAUGAAAAUCACUUCCACAUUUGGAAAACUUGGAGAAAUUCCUCAGUUCCUAUGCUUAUUCUUUACAAUGGGACAACUACUACAAAGGGGCUGUCUUUUCUAAGAUAUGUCGAGGCCUGAAAACCCACUAACUGGUAAGUGUACAAUUCUGACCUGACUGAAGCAGCAGUGGCCUGCAGCCUGUAGAGAGCUCUGAGCUAUCUAUCUACGCAGUUCUCCAGUUU
rnacentral:lncRNA from 1 species